rnacentral:rRNA from 1 species
GAGUUUGAUCAUGGCUCAGGAUGAACGCUGGCGGCGUGCCUAAUACAUGCAAGUCGAGCGAACAGACGAGGAGCUUGCUCCUCUGACGUUAGCGGCGGACGGGUGAGUAACACGUGGAUAACCUACCUAUAAGACUGGGAUAACUUCGGGAAACCGGAGCUAAUACCGGAUAAUAUAUUGAACCGCAUGGUUCAAUAGUGAAAGACGGUUUUGCUGUCACUUAUAGAUGGAUCCGCGCCGCAUUAGCUAGUUGGUAAAGUAACGGCUUACCAAGGCAACGAUGCGUAGCCGACCUGAGAGGGUGAUCGGCCACACUGGAACUGAGACACGGUCCAGACUCCUACGGGAGGCAGCAGUAGGGAAUCUUCCGCAAUGGGCGAAAGCCUGACGGAGCAACGCCGCGUGAGUGAUGAAGGUCUUCGGAUCGUAAAACUCUGUUAUUAGGGAAGACAAAUGUGUAAGUAACUAUGCACGUCUUGACGGUACCUAAUCAGAAAGCCACGGCUAACUACGUGCCA